CUUGGGAGGUGUUAGCUGGUCCUGCUUGUUUCCUUUGUGGAAUUUCCAAUUUCCCUGCUUUCAGAUGUUGCUCUUUAUUUACUGUCCUGAUUUUAGAGAUUAUAUUGUUCUGUAUUAUUCUAUCACAGAGAGCGCGACGCCCUUCCCUCUGAGCUCACUUCCGGAGGGAGGAGCGGGGCCUUGUCCUGGGCGCCCUCCCUUCCAGGCCUGGGCCUCGCGUGGGCCUCCUUUCCCGCCCUGCCUGCCUGCCUGCCUGCCUGCCUUCAUCCGGGUGUUUGGGCCUGGCCUCCCUCAGGGCCUCCCUCCUCGGAGCGGACUCCUCUCCUCCCUCCCUCCGGUGAGUGUGGCCAGGCCUGUGAAAGAAAGAAAGAACGCUUUCGGUGAGUGAGUGAGGGUGUGUUUGGCAAUGUCGCAGCCUGCCUCGAGCCAUGAGCACGAACAGGCCAGACAGAAACAGACAGGAUUGGAUUGUGUCCGAAGAGAACCGAGGGAAGAAGUCACUCCUGGUGGAGCCCCCGGGGGCGCAACAACCACAACAAGACUUGAUUGGCAGACCACUCACUCCAUCUCCAAGAAGGACUCGGAGCGGUUUGCACCGUGAGGUCAGGCAGGCUCCGCCCCUCCGGUCUUUCCACAGGAAGGUGAAGAGCUGGUUGUGGGGCCAGGCUUUGGAGCAAGAACCGCAGCAGCAUUCAUCACAGCCACGCUCUUUAGAACUCCAGGACAGACCCCGUUUUUAGACUCCAAAUGUG
rnacentral:lncRNA from 11 species